CCCUAAAAUAAGUUUAUCCAAAUUGGUUGUAAACCAUUUGAUCAGAAGUUGAAUAACAACUUUCCCAUGCCUCUGAACCAUUCUCAUGUCUAGAACUGCGUCAGGCUCCAAUAGGACAUGGGCACAUGGCUAUCCUCAAAAUGCACUAUUGAUAAGGUAGUUGAAGUUGUGUAAAAGCCUAACUUCAUUUUCAAUGGGGAGAAGCGAAAGCUUGUCGUCAAAAAAAUGUAAUCAAUCAGAAAAAAGAAAAAAUAUGAAAAUAGUGAAUCAAGAUCUGGAUGGAUCCCUAUCUUUAUCUCUAUCCACGGAGAUACCUCUCUAUAUGGAGAGAGAUCUAUCUAUGAAUCUGCCUAAACUAUCCUCUAUCUGGAUAGAUAUGUCCCUAUGAGUGGUUAGGCUGAUCUUUAUACAUUUUGGCCACGUCCCUUUCUGAUCCGAAGAAGAAGGUUUAGAUCUUUCAAUCUUAUGUCAUGAGGUAUGUGACCUGUGUUAGGUCCAUAGAAUACCAUAGUUUUUGGUGUUCUAUGAUUCACCUCCGAAUAAUGAGUAGAUAGUUCGAUCCUUUUUAUUUUGAUCUUUCUAGUAAAGUGAUGGGGAGGUGCGGAGCAAUAGUACAAAGCGGGAUGAAUCUUAGUACGAAGUGGAAUCUCAAGAGUCCUAUGAUUUCAUUCUGCUUUGGGCUCUCUCUACAUGGAACUUAAAUGACCUCAAGAUUUAGAUUUGUGCACCAGAGGAGCGCACAUGGACCCACUUGAUUUGGUAACUGUUUUUCAGAGGACAUCUCGGGGUGAGCUGUGUAGUUGAUCCGCAACACCAAACUCCCUGUAUCAUUCUUAUUAUGUCUUUAUUAUUCUAAACAAGUGUAAACAUUAUAUUCAUAUUUUCGAAGCUCUUGUACUUAUGCUACUAGA